UACGUAGGCAGCGAGCGUUGUUCGGAGUUACUGGGCGUAAAGGGUGUGUAGGCGGUUGUUUAAGUUUGGUGUGAAAUCUCCCGGCUCAACUGGGAGGGUGCGCCGAAUACUGAAUAACUAGAGUGCGGGAGAGGAAAGUGGAAUUCCUGGUGUAGCGGUGAAAUGCGUAGAGAUCGGAAAGAACACCAACGGCGAAAGCACUCUGCUGGGCCGACACUGACACUGAGAGACGAAAGCUAGGGGAGCGAAUGGG
rnacentral:rRNA from 1 species